GCAAACUUGGUCAUUUAGAGGAAGUAAAAGUCGUAACAAGGUCUCCGUUGGUGAACCAGCGGAGGGAUCAUUAUCGAGUGUUAAAACUCACCAUCCUUUGUGAACUUACCAGUGGGCAUAACGUUGUUUCGGUGGUGCCGUCCCGGGGGGACGGUGGCCGGUUAAGUCCGGCAGCCACCGGCGGCGUAUACCUAAAACUCUUGUUUUAUAUAACGUUUAAACUUCUGAGUCAGCUUCGAGAGAAGCAACACAAAUGAAUCAAAACUUUCAGCAACGGAUCUCUUGGUUCUGGCAUCGAUGAAGAACGCAGC
rnacentral:misc_RNA from 1 species